AUUUAUAUAAUUCAAAAAGAAUAUCACGCUGAAGUUGUGAAAGUGGUUAAAUACCUGUGAAUA
rnacentral:tRNA from 1 species